GACGAACGCUGGCGGCGUGCUUAACACAUGCAAGUCGAACGGAGUGGCGAACGGGUGAGUAACACGUGGGUGAUCUGCCUUGCACUUCGGGAUAAGCUUGGGAAACUGGGUCUAAUACCGGAUAGUGCAAGAUGAGCUCGCGGCCUAUCGGCUUGUUGGUGGGGUAAUGGCCUACCAAGGCGUCGACGGGUAGCCGGCCUGAGAGGGUGUACGGCCACAAUGGGACUGCGAGACGCACCAGAAUGCAAUGUGAGGCAGUAGUGGGAAAUAUUCCACAAUGCGCGGAAGUCUGAGGCAGCGCCGCCGCGUGGGGUAUGAAGGCCUUCGGGUUGUAAACUCCUUUGGACAGGGACGCGGUACCUGUAUAAGAAGCACCGGCUAACUACGUGCCAGCAGCCGCGGUAAUAC
rnacentral:rRNA from 1 species